UCACCAUGUUAGCUAGGCUGGUCUCGAACUCCUGACCUCAAGUGAUCUGCCCGCCUCGGCUUUCUAAAGUGCUGGGAUUACAGGAGUGAGCCACCUGGCCUGCAUCUUCAUUUCUGAUGUGAAGAACAUGGGGUGGGGACUCUCUCCUAAAUAGCAUGGUACCAUUUAGAUUUUGGGUGAGCAGUGAAGAUUUGGGAAGAUCAGUGUCAGAUUCAAGAUUUUAAAAAUGACUCUGACAGGUGAGGGAAUAGUUAAUGUCUCUGGCAGAAUCUCAUUAAUCCUUCGAUGACUUACUAACAUGUGAUGUCACUUUUCAUUGGGUCUUUACCUUGUCCACCACUGAUUUAUCUCUUGUUGACACACCUACCCUUAUGGUGUUGAGAUUCACACAUAUGUAUGCAUAGCCUCCUCCAUAGGGUCAGAUCUCUUUUCCCUCUUGGGGUGGUGUGAAGGCAGACUUAUGGUCUUGCCUCAGUUAGUGUUCUUAAUUCUAUCUCAGUAGUUGGGGCAGCUUCUCUUUACUUGGGCUGUAUUUCAUUAAAUGUUUGGCCGCAGAACUGAAGUGUGGAUGCUGGUGAGUGGAGAGGAAACAGAGGGUGACCUGGCUUUUGCUUUGGGGCAGGCCUUUCCCUAACAUUUAGGAAACUUAACACUGUGGAUGGCCAAGUGGAUAAGUAGUCUCUGAAAUCAGUGGGGAGCUGCUGCUUCAACAAUGCAGCCAAUGAAUGCUGAUGGCCGAACUCACAAUUCACCCUAUUACUAACACAUCACUCGAUAAGGUAAACUGACUAUUUAGGAUGGCUGGGGCACAGGAGAAAUUAUAUAAAUGUUGAUUAAUUUGAGGCUUCCCUCCAAUUCUCUUUGUAAUAUCUUGUUUCCUUUACUAGCGAGUUCAGAACAUAAGCUACUCUUCACAGUAAACACAGGCCCAUGAAAACUUGACAGAAAAGGAGUGGAGGAUGUGAACUGGAUAGAUAUGGGAUAAAGUAAUAAAAGGUAGUUAACAUUUAGUCAGCGGUUAAUGUGUGCCAGACAUUGUAAUAACUCGCAUAUCCAAUUAAUAUCUGUCUAUUGCCACUGUCUAUUUUCACAUAAAAUAGAUACUAUUUUAUCUCCAUUUUAUACAAGAGAAAACUGAGUCUUAGAGAAACUUACUUGUCAGUGUCACACAGUUAGUAAGUGUCAGAGCCAGGAUGCAAACCUAAGUAUGUCUGAACUCUGAAUCCCAUGCUUUUUAUUCCCAUGAGAUGCUGAGAGCUCAGUAGAUAAAGGUGAGAGUGGGAGGUUAUGGGUAGAGAACAGCAGUAGGUUUGAGAAAGAAUAAGUGGUCAUCAGAGGGGUAAAGCAACAAGUAUAUCUUCUGGUGACAGUUUGAAACUACAUUGCAAAUAAUUUGUGUUACUAAUAAUUUGUUGUUACUAAUAACGGAAUAUUUGUGAGUGACUUACAUAAAAAUAAAUUGGAGAGAAUUCAGUAUUACUCUUAACUGGAUUCUAAUGUGUUUCUCUUUAAGUGAGAGGGAAGGAAGUUGAAUUACAGAUGGUUAACUCCCACCUGUAUGUCCUGUGCUGGUGAAGUGAUACCAGGUGUACAUCAAGUGUUAUGGGAAUGAGGUGGAAACAAGGGUCUUUGAAUAGAGGUGAGGGGAGCAAAUCUCUACUAAAGUAGACACAGAGAUCAGAAGAAACCAGGUCAAAGCUGCUUCCCACCAAGCUGUGUGGUCCCGGGUUCCCCCUCGCUCUGUCUCCUGCUGCCAUGUAAGACGUGCCUGGCUUCCCC